GACGUAGGGGGCAAGCGUUGUCCGGAAUUACUGGGCGUAAAGGGUGCGUAGGUGGUCGUUUAAGUCCGUUGUGAAAUCCCUGGGCUCAACCUGGGAAUGGCAGUGGAUACUGGACGGCUAGAAUGCGGUAGAGGGUAGUGGAAUUCCCGGUGUAGCAGUGAAAUGCGUAGAGAUCGGGAGGAACACCAGUGGCGAAGGCGGCUACCUGGACCAGCAUUGACACUCAAGCACGAAAGCGUGGGGAGCAAACAGG
rnacentral:rRNA from 1 species